CCUCUGACAAGAUUUGCAAGAGAGUUCCAGCCUUUUUCCUGGGCCAGCAAGUUCUCUUACUGCUGCUGCGACUGCUAUUUUCUUACCCACAGGCAGAAGAAUGAGCUCUUCUCAAGGCAGGAGCAAAAAAGCUGACUGAAACAGAAAUGGUACCAGAAGUGGUUUGUGGCUGUGACUAACCUGACCUUGUAGUUCAGAAGAUUUUGAAGGUUUUGGAAUUGAUGGGGGGAUUUUGAGAUGCUUAGCAGUGCAAACUAAAAAUGCUUUAGAUUGUUUUAAGCAGAGCUUAAUGGACGAUUCUGAUGGGAGCUUAGAAGACCAGGAUGCCAAUAAGACUGUGAACAGUGAAGACAAGGCUCAAGAGGAAAAAGAGGACAUGAUUGGAAUUUGAAAUGGGAACUAUUUGUAUUAUGUUCUGGAUGAGAAGUUGUCCACAUUUUGCUCAUGUCCUGAAACUUUCUGUGAAGGCGAUUUUAAAUGUGAUGGGCUUUUUCUUUUUUUUUUUUUUUAAUUAUUUUGACUUAUACAUGACAGUAGAAUGUAUUUUGAUGUAUUCUAUGUACUUGGAGUAUAACUUCCCAUUCUUAUGGUUGUACAUGAUGUGGAGUUACACUGGUCAUGUAUUCAUAUAUGAACACAGGAAAUUAUGUACGAUUCAUAUCUCCCCUCUCUUCCUUCUCCCCAUCCCUCCUUGUCCAAUCUGAUGAGUCUCCUAAAAAUGAUGGACUUUGUACUUUGAUUUUAAAAGUGAUGAACUUCUUAAUUUUGCAGAAGAAAUGUCUAGGCAACAUAGCAUUCAGGCAGUGACAUGGGUAUUUCUGGCAGCUUUUAGCCAAAUUUAUUGUAAUAAUCAGGAGCAGAAAGCAGAGCAGAAAGAUUUGAAAAACUUGGACUGAGACCUCUGAAACUGUGAGACAUCAAAUAAACUUUUCUUCCUCUAAA